GACGAACGCUGGCGGCGUGCCUAAUACAUGCAAGUCGAACGCAGUGGGGACGGGUGAGUAACACGUGGGUAACCUCCCAUCAGAGGGGAUAACACUUGGAAACAGGUGCUAAACCGAUACUGAUGGAUGGACCCGCGGUGCAUUAGCUAGUUGGUGUGGUAACGGCUCACCAAGGCCACGAUGCAUAGCCGGUCUGAGAGAGUGAUCAGUCACACUUGGACGGAGACAGGGCCCAGACUCCUACGUGAGGCAGCAGGGGGGAAUCUUCGGCAAUGGACGAAAUGCUGACCGAGCAACGCCGCGUGAGUGAAGAAGUUUUUCGGAUCGUAAAACUCUGUUGUUAGGGAAGCGGUAUCUAACCAGAAAGCCACGGCUAACUACGUGCCAGCAGCCGCGGUAAUUC
rnacentral:rRNA from 1 species